GGACACUGAGCAUCCUUCAGUGCUCUAUUGCUCAGCUCUUCACUUCUCCUUCGAUACCCUGCUCAAUGAUGGCUUUUGGAAUUAUGCUCCUCUUAGGUGGUAAGUGGGGCCUCAGAGCUGGAAGAGGUCUGGGCGGGGGCGUCUCUGUCUGAUAGGGCAUUCUGGGGCUGGUGGUCAGCUCAUAUAGCUCUGUGGAGGAGGUGAGGCAAGGGAGUGCCUUAGUGUCUAGAUUCUGGUGUGGAAAGAGGAAUGGCCUGGAAUCAGGGGAGGGUCAUAACCUGAGCAAAGAUGAGAUAAGAUGGACUCAUAGGCUAAGUUUGGGUGAAGAAUAAGCUACUUCUCCACAUUCCCCAAGGCUUCCCCCCACCUUCUGUCAGGCCCCUGGUGUGUGUGUGUGUGUGUGUGUGUGUGUAUGUGUGUUGGUAUGGUUGACAGGAGUCAGCCUCAGAGCCCCAGGGGGGAAGGCCAUAGAAGUCACUAGGGAGGGGAAACUUUGGAUAUCUCAUCAUCCUUGGUCCUUGAUUUUGAUUUCAGGUAGGUUGUUCCACGACUGCCAAGAGAAUAGUCCAGAAAUUGAACCUGUAACAGGAUCACAUUUCUGUGUCAUUUGAAAUCAUUUGUGUGUCAGUCAAAAAUCAGAUUCCACACAAAAAUCCAGACUUUCAGCUUCUCUUGAGAAAUGGGAAGGUCUGGAGCUCUGAAUUCUAGACCCUGGUAAUGCUUACCUCCUUUAAAAGGGCCACAUGCUCUAAGUGCCCAUAAUUCCCUGGUACUCACACCACCCACUUCACUCACUGAUGUCACCCUCUUGGCCUCUGAGACAUUUCAGUCUGAGACUUUUGGCAUCAUCCUACUUGUCUGGUCAUAGGUUCUUUUUUCAGACUCAGAAAUAGAAUCAUCCUUUGAGGAGAUUUGGGAUGUGAAGCUCCCUUGCAUGUGGCCAUGGUAGGAUUAUGGCACCUUCAACAUCUGGCCUUUUCCCAGAACCCCAAGAUUCAAUUGUUUGGACCUUGCCUGUCACAUCCUGGCCUAAUGCUUUAUAUUCUUAGAGCUUCCCUACUUUGGGGUUGGAGUUGACUCCUCAAUCCAGAGACAGCUGGGAAUUCUAGUAGAAAUGGAGAAGAAACCUGCUGUCUAGGAGUGAGAGUUGUGGGAAAAGCCCUUGAAAUGUAGGGGGCCUUCCACUGAGGUUUUUGCGCUUAGUCACCAGAGAGGAGAAUGUGAAGGAUCAGGAGAGUGGGUUGGAAUCCUGGCUAUACCAGGGACUUCCUGUGCAGUUCUGGGUCAGCCAACAAAUAGUAAUUAGUCACCUGUUAAGGGCCAGGCACUGCCUCAGGCACCAACACAAGAUGGUUGCAGUCCUUGUUGUCUUAGAGCCUAGCACCAAGGAAGGGGGGCAUGGGAAACACAUAAGAAUAAAUAAUUAAUCAAAAAAUUCUAAGUCUGUUUCCCCAUCUGGACCUUAGGGUGGACCAUGAUGUAGUUAUUAAUGGUGUCCCUUUCAUUCUCAGAAGGUCUCAGUUUAGGAAAUGAAUUGUAUUAUCAUAAGGGACAUUCUUGAGCUAACAUACCAUGAGGUGACAGGCUCAAUUUCAGGUUGUACAUGUCCUUUGAAAUAUCCUUGAGGGGGCAUUUCUCUGGAUUGUUGCCCUUUGUAUUGUGGUUUGAUUAUUGUUGAGGAAGGGAGAGACAGGAGCCACACAGAUGGCAAAUCAGGAAACAAAAAGAACACCCUUCUCCUGGGAAGAUGAGCUGGACUGGGGUGGGCAUCAAGAUCCCAAAAGUCAGGUAUCCAGAGGAGAUGAGGCUUCUCUGACUGUUCCUCCCACCCUCACUUCCCUCUCCAUAUUCCUCAGUCAUUGCUUCUUAUUAUGGGUUCAACUUGGAUGUGGAGGAGCCCAUGGUCUUUCAAGAGGAUGGAGUUAGCUUUGGACAGAGUGUGGCCCAGUUUGGCAGAUCGAGGU
rnacentral:lncRNA from 1 species